AGUUGCAGGGCAGCGGCCCUCCAGGACUGGACUUUGACAUCUGAGGUCCAGAGUGUCGUCCUAUCAGAAAUCCACCAGCGGGUGGUGCAGUAGUUGACGGCAGCGUAUUCGAUGACAGACAGGAAGACAAACAGGAAGCUGGUCCACAGAUAGACUCAAUGUAAAGGUGUGAGAGGUGGUGACAUCAUAACGUCAUUAUUUAAAAGAAGAAAUAACCCAAAGUAUCUGCCGUGCUGUGAUGGAGGGUAUA